CACGCUGUAAACGAUGGGUGCUAGCCGUUGGGGGGAUACCUCUCAGUGGCGCAGCUAACGCGUUAAGCACCCCGCCUGGGGAGUACGGUCGCAAGAUUAAAACUCAAAGAAAUUGACGGGGACCCGCACAAGCGGUGGAACAUGUGGUUUAAUUCGAGGCAACGCGAAGAACCUUACCAAGACUUGACAUGCCCUCUAUGGAGAACAGAAAUGAUCUCCUUCACCUCGGGUGGGAGGAGCACAGGUGC
rnacentral:rRNA from 1 species